AAAUUUUAAAAUAGACUUUAAAAUGAUAUAAAAAAUUAAAAACUGUUAUACUAUGCCAAUUAUCAUAUUUAUAAUAAUUAUAAAAUUAUGAGAAAAAAAAAAAAAGUAGGCUAGUCAUUUUUGACCAGGAACACCACAAGUUCAAUGAGGAGGUUAAAAUAAAUAAAUAAAUAAAAUAAAUAAAUCUCAUACACCGUGAGAGCAAAUGCUUAAACAUUAACUAACCUUUUUUCAGGAAAAAAAAAAUAAAUCCUCUCCAGGUUUAAAUGACAAGAACACAACAUGAGGGCUAAAUUCACUUUAAAGUCAUGUUUUUUUCUUUUUUUCUUUUUUUUUUCAUGGAAGUAAAACAGGUCAUUCUAUGUUGACUUUAAUGCUGAAUGCAAAAGGAAAUGAAGAUGCAAAUGUGCAAAUGCAGAAGAAGAAAAAUACAGAACGAUUUCUGGAAGGUAUAAUUCAUGAAUGCUCAUCUGAUGAUAACUUUGCUUCAAGGUGGUCAUAAGUGGUCGAGGGUCUCAAAAAGGCUGGUUGCUAUAUAGAUCAUGAAGGGCCACGUUAGCGCAAAACCAGACGUUUUUUUCUCCGUUUUCUCUUCCAUUGCCCUCCAUUCUUGUGCGCUCCUUUCAGAAUCUGAAGACGAAGCAUGUUAUGUAAAACUUUUCGUAAUAGCUUGCGUGUUUCUACUUGUGGUCUGAAUGUAUUUGAUGGUAUCACCUAUUUCAUUGGUCUCGGAGGAUGUGAAGACUAAGCCGUCCAUCCGUCAAAAGGACAAAUGGUUUUUAUUUUCAUAUUGUAAUGUGUAUGAUGGAUACAAACCAGAUCCAAGCACUCUGAGUGAACCUGUUUCUAUAGUUUUGCUUUCUUUUUCCACAUUGCACUUUGAAAUUGAGUUCCACAUUUAGAUCUUUAUAUGAGUGACGAAACAAGAAAAAAAGAAAAACGUUUACAUGUAAACAAGUACAAGCCAUGUCAAUUACAUGUUUGAAGAUUGUGGUCGGAAAGUGAACGUUGUUCCUACUGAAGCACGCUGCUUUGAGCUACUAUAGGUGAAGUUUUAAUGCGACGUUUAUGUCGUGCAAGCAGACAUGCCUUACAGUUUGUUUUCUUUCUUUUUUUCAAAGAAAAAAAAAGUACUAAAUGGAUUGCAUAUUUGGAUUUUGUUACUCUCUCUUAUAUACGGACAAGUAAUGAAGGGGUGCAAAUAAACAUUUUAUAUAUAUAUAUAUAAAAGAACUGGUUGUCAUUUUAUGUGUGUGCAUGUAAGCCUUUAUCACAUACAUUUAUGAAAUGAAGUCAAUCAUCAAUUAGAGAUAUGCUGGUAACACUCGUGCAAUGUUUAUUUAAACAUGCAUCAUUACUCAGGCAUUCAUUCUGCAGAUCAAAAGACAUUUUAAUGGAAACGCUGAUGCGAUCAAAUUUAGUGAAGGAAAGAAAAUCAGUCAUGCUUUAAGGAAUAAUUACAAGUAUAAGAGGUGUUUAUGGUUUAAUGGGCAGUCUGAAUGAAACUGUAUCUUAAAAACUGCAUGAUGGGAUCAUAAAACAUGAUCAAAUUAAGGUUCAGUGAAUGAGUGAGUCCCCUGACCCAAAUCAAUCGAUUUGAUUGAUUCAUUAGACAGAACUCCUGCAUUUGGUUGCAGAUUAGACAACAUUUUAUGUUUGUUUUUGUGUGCAGUCGGCGAGAACAACACAUUAUUUUGCAGCACCCAGUCUUUCUCUCUCAUUGCACAAAAUUCACAACUCUGCUAAAAUAUAAAUAUAUAUUUGUGCUGCAGCACUACAGAUUCGGGAAAUGCUGCUGUAACCACCUAUUCAAGUUUUAAUGAACCAUUUCUCCCAAAACAAUUUACAGGAAAGUGAAGGCCUUUGUUGAUGUGGAAGAAACAUUAGGACAGAUUUAGAUCGGAUUCGAUUUAUGUGCACAGGCACACAUUGAUGCAUUUAUGCACAUUACCUUAGCUGUAAGUUAUUAUAAAACAUGCAUUUUACAUAUGCACAUUCUUUGUGGGAACAUUUGACUGAAUUGUUCAGUUAAAUAGGCUGAACAAAUGUUUUGCAUUGGUAAACUCAAUACCCAAGU
ensembl:lncRNA